AUAAAAGAUAUGUGACGCAGUAUUCUAGUCGACAGGCCAUGUUUUGAAGGCGGGGCUAAAAAUCCGUUAAGGGCACAUCGAUGAAGUUUCUGGUGCUGGCUUCUGACGCCCAGUCGGGGGCUGGUGCUGGGAGUUAAGGUUUUUGGGCGCUCUGUAAUGGCAUACGGAAGCCGACCCAAUUUCCGUGGAGACCCAAGUGCGUGGGGAGAUGCCUUUGGUCGGGCAUGAUAACUAUGGCUUGGGAUUAAACCUGCAUUCGGUUAAAUGCUGGGUGCAGUGUAGCCUGCCUUGAGUGCGAGUGGUGGAUUGGCUGUUUUAGCCAAAACAGAGGCUGCUUGGUUCGACCAGACCGGCAGUCCUACUGAUGAAACCACUGGUGCAAAAGAGGCUAAAAAUGUGGUACUGCCGUUGAGGAAAGCUCCUAGACUGUUAUGCUGUCAGGGAUUAAAGUAUGGACUAAGUGGUGAUUUGGCUCCGGCCGCGGCAACGCUCCGGGUUGACCCGUAAGUGGGAACCGCCACGGCGGCGACGCUGUGGCGCGGUCAACGAGAAACUCUGCCAGACCUAAGCCAUAAAGUUUACCUGCCGGCUGUUCACAUAUUUUUAUUA
rnacentral:sRNA from 1 species